AUGGGAAGGACUGGAAGCAAAAAUUUCCCCUUUAAAAUGAAAGUGCGUAGACCCAGCCUGUGAAUUGGGUCAACACGCGGGCCUUUCCAAAAUGCUACUGCUUUUAACAACCAUUUAUUUUAUUAUUAAAAACAAAAGCUAGUUUUAAAGUCUUUUUCUUUUUGCUAAAAAAACUUUACUUUGAUUUCUUUUUUUCUAAAAAACCCUAAACUCUUUCUUCUCCCCACUGUCCUCUUUCUUCCAGCCGCAAACAAGGCCAACACCAAGCCUUCAUUUGCCUCCGUGACGACCAACAGAGGGCCGGAGAACCCCUCUUGUGAAGCGAAUCGAGAGGCCGUGAAGUUGUGGAGAACGAGGGGCAUGGAGUAUGGGCGCAAACAUGGAGCGUGGCGCACGGGGAUCGUGCGUGGAGUGCCGACGUGGGGAUUGCGGCGUGGGGCUGCUGUGCAAAAGGGGAACUUAGGGUUUCUGAAACCCUAAAAAUUUGGGCCUAUCGGGCCAUUGUAAAAUUUUGGGCUUGUAAACCGAACCUAUUUAAUGGACUGUUUAAUUUUUGUGUUUGAUUUUGGUUUCCUAUGGGCCGGGCAAAAUUCGGGUCUUACAAUGCUUAAUGUCAUGUGCAUGUAUUGUUCCAGAUAUGGUUUCCAUAUAUUACACUACUAUAAAAUUACUUUAGGUAUAAAA